UGUACACGUAGCUCAAUCGGUAGAGCAGCGGUCUCCAAAGCCGCCGGUUCCAGGUUCGACUCCUGGCGUGUAUGCAAC
rnacentral:tRNA from 1 species